rnacentral:snoRNA from 1 species
UCCUGAUGAGAACAGAUGACGAGUCUUAUCCGGGUUUCCGAUGCAGACACACUUAUAUCUAUACCAUUCAUGCUUUACCUGAUC